UACGGAGGAUGCGAGCGUUAUCCGGAUUUACUGGGUGUAAAGGGUGCGCAGGCGGUUGCUUAGGUCUGAUGUGAAAGCCUUCGGCUUAACCGAAGAAGUGCAUCGGAAACCGGGCAACUUGAGUGCAGAAGAGGACAGUGGAACUCCAUGUGUAGCGGUGGAAUGCGUAGAUAUAUGGAAGAACACCAGUGGCGAAGGCGGCUGUCUGGUCUGCAACUGACGCUGAGGCUCGAAAGCAUGGGUAGCGAACAGG
rnacentral:rRNA from 1 species